GAUUAACGCUGGCGGCGUGCAUAACACAUGCAAGUCGAACGAUGAAACUUUAAUGAACCCUUCGGGGAGAAUUAAAGCGGAUUAGUGGCGAACGGGUGAGUAACGCGUGAGUAACCUGCCUUACACAAGGGGAUAGCCUUUGGAAACGAAGAAUAAUACCCUAUAAAACCAUAAAAGCACAUGCAAUUAUGAUCAAAGUGAUAGCGGUGUAAGAUGGACUUGCGUCUGAUUAGCUAGUUGGUGAGAUAAAAGCCCACCAAGGCAACGAUCAGUAGCCGGCUUGAGAGAGUGUACGGCCACAUUGGGACUGAGACACGGCCCAGACUCCUACGGGAGGCAGCAGUGGGGAAUUUUGCACAAUGGGGGAAACCCUGAUGCAGCGACGCCGCGUGAUUUAGAAGGCCUUCGGGUUGUAAAAAUCUUUUGUAUAGGAAGAAAAUGACAGUACUAUACGAAUAAGGUCCGGCUAAUUACGUG
rnacentral:rRNA from 1 species